rnacentral:rRNA from 1 species
UGGGGAAUAUUGCACAAUGGGGGAAACCCCGAUGCAGCGACGCCGCGUGAGCGAUGAAGUAUUUCGGUAUGUAAAGCUCUAUCAGCAGGGAAGAAAAUGACGGUACCUGACUAAGAAGCCCCGGCUAACUACGUGCC